CCCCGCCCCCGCCCGCGCCGGGCCGCCCGCGCGGGAGGAGCGGCUGGUGAGCGGCGGUUUGGGACCCAACCGCCAGGGACCCCGCGUUCCUAACGGGCGAGACCGCACCGGCACCGCGUCCUGCGCAGCUCACGCCUCCCCGGCUUCAUCUCUACCUCUUCCCGCCUGCGACAGCAUGUACUACACCUCGAGCAAGGUGAGGAAUUCCAACACCUACUAAACGAAUCGAGAAACGCCCUCCUGCCCUGGAUUUUAACCAAUGAGAAUGAAUGGCUCCUGUUCCCUCCGCAGAGAUGGUUCACUUAAGUAACACAGAAAUUUACCUAAAUGGCCCACUCCUGGUCACCGGAGAAGUCCUCUGAGUCAUCUGCUGAUGGAUAUUCAAAGUGGAAAAAUGCCUGGCAGCCUCACUGCAGAUCCAAAUUCAUAGCAUCCUCUGGCAAGUCCCACUGGAGGGACAAAUCACCCUCUUUAGACUCCUACCUGCUCACCUUCCCUCAGCUUCACCACGCCCCCGCAUACCAGGAACCAGACUUCUUUCCCAUCGUAUCCUCGCUAAAAGCUGAGUGAGGACAGAACAUGGCUUUUUCUGGAUGUUUUUAUUAAUCGCUCUUUGACUUAUUAGUUGGCCAUAUCUUCUUUAGUUCCCCCAAACUCUUCUAUGAAUCCAGUCAACAAAUAUUUAUGAAACAUUACUCUGUUGCCACUCCCUGUGCUACACACAGGGGACACUACAGUCACGCCCUCCUUCAUGGGCAGGACAGAAGUAAACAAGAACCAGCCCCACUGUGGUCAGUGCUAUGAAGAUGGCAAACAUGGGGGGAGGGGGGGAGGUUCAUGGGAAUGGACGGAGCAGGAACGCCCUCGUGUUGAUGUAUGGGCCUGGGAGUAAGUUCUGUACGGGAUGGUGACAGGGACCCUGACAGCUGUGCCGGAGGACUUUUAGGUACAGAAUGAGCACUUCCAUGGACCACACCUGUGUCUACAGGAUGUCCAAGCAUUUUUAAAAAAUGAUGACCCUCAACCCCAGUGAAAGAAGAACCCUGGAAUAUAUACUGAAGGGCCCCUGGCUCAGUCGGAGGAACUCCGGCCUAAAGCGAGCCACUCGGGGGCCACACGGGCCCCCAAGUCACAGAGAUAAUGAAGAACCUGGGAUUUGAGUGGGACGAGAUACAGGAAUCAGAAACAGAAAGAAAGUACAACACAUUCCUGAUCUUAACAAGUUCCACGGAAUACAAGGGGAAGGGCCACGCUAUCAGGGUAAGGCGCACUCUCCUAACCCAACAGCUGCCAUCCUUCCCCCGCCUCAGAGGUUCUGCCGUCAGAGAAGACCAAAGAGCCUGCCAUCCACCUGCCCGGCCUGGAGUCAGGGCCGGCCACCCCUGACCCAGCGUCCAGCGUGGCCUUCCACCCACAGCAGCGGCAAUGGUGAGUGGUGGCACUCAGAGAGAACCAACAGCAGAAACUCCUUCCGUGCUGAGCAGCCUGACGGUGGACCCUCGUUCUCCCUCCGGCCAGGCAGGCCCAGCAGGGGCGGCUAGAAUCCUAUUAAGACUCAAGCCCUGUAGGCCAUCCGCUAACAAGCAGCACAUCUAAAGGGCCAGCCAAGCCAAUGUAAUUUUUAAAAUUGUGGAUGGCCGAGGCAGGGCCACAGUCAACCACUGUGAGGGAAGUCGAGCUACACUCCCUGCAUUUUAAAUGCUGAACUUCAAGGUGCUGAGCUUCAUUUCGGGGCGGUCAACCAGAGGCCGGAUGCAAACAGCUGCAGGUCGGAGGAAUGCACGCCGCGUGUGCAAAAACCUGCGAGCGAGAGGGUUCAUGUC